rnacentral:rRNA from 2 species
UAGGGAAUCUUCGGCAAUGGGGGCAACCCUGACCGAGCAACGCCGCGUGAGUGAAGAAGGUUUUCGGAUCGUAAAGCUCUGUUGUAAGUCAAGAACGGGUGUGAGAGUGGAAAGUUCACACUGUGACGGUAGCUUACCAGAAAGGGACGGCUAACUACGUGCCAGCAGCCGCGGUAAUACGUAGGUCCCGAGCGUUGUCCGGAUUUAUUGGGCGUAAAGCGAGCGCAGGCGGUUUGAUAAGUCUGAAGUUAAAGGCUGUGGCUCAACCAUAGUUCGCUUUGGAAACUGUCAAACUGGAGUGCAGAAGGGGAGAGUGGAAUUCCAUGUGUAGCGGUGAAAUGCGUAGAUAUAUGGAGGAACACCGGUGGCGAAAGCGGCUCUCUGGUCUGUAACUGACGCUGAGGCUCGAAAGCGUGGGGAGCGAACAGG